AGAUUACCUGCGCGUGAGACGAAUUUAAUUGAAAUCAAUUGCAGACUGCUUCGCGGAUGGCGCUGAGCUCUUGCCGAGAGAACCAUUGAAUUAAGUAAUAUUUUUGCGAAAGUUGUAUAAGUACAAUGAACUGUAAUCUGAAAGGAGGAGAAGGCUUAGAAGGCGAUGGCGAAACAAAAUCUUAGGAUUAAUAUCGCAAUUACAGCUUCACUGUUGUGCAUCAUAUCGGUGAGUCAAAAAUUAACUUUUAGAUUAAAGUAGUGGAUCAGUGAAAAUUGUAUUAGUUAUAUGGAAGAUAGUCAGUUAGGAACAUAAGAAUAUUAUACAAAUAAAUUUAAUGUCUCAACAGAUCCAUUGCA